ACAUUCGAUGCACAGAAAUUUGAACAUCAUCAACAAAAGAACAUUCCAGACCACAAAUAUAAAGGUUCCAGUAAAGAACCAGUAGUGUGAAGUGAACAGAAUGGCAGGCUUUCGUCCAGUUUUGUUUCUUGCUCUAGCCUUACUGGCAUUAUCUUUCUGGUUAUCUCAAGCAGACGAUGAUCCUCCACCUCCACCUCCUCCUCCCCCUCCUCCGCCGCCGCCACCACCACCACCUAAGUCUUCUGGCUCUGAUGGCUUUUCCCUUAUGAAAGCCGGAUCUGAUUUAUUAAAUACCGUCAAAGAAAUCUUAGGGGUUUAGCUUAAUUUGCAAAAAAGGUUACUAAUUCAAAGAGAAAAAAUGAGACGAUGCCCAUCAUAAAAGAUUGCAAACUUCAUCUGUGUUCUGAUAUAUGCCUGCGGUUGCAAGAUCUAAAAGGAUCAAAUUUUUUUGCAGUUUGUAUUAGAGCAUUUAUUUUAGUCAAUUCCGCGUACCAUUGUCAUUUUUAUCCUUAUGGAUGGAUGUUUAAAAUAUUAAUGUUUCUUCCUCCAUUUUACAGUUUUAAAUGUUAUCUGUAUGUAUCUUUUAAUCAAUCAAUAAACACUUAUUGAUAAAAGUGA